AUUCUGAAUAAAGAAAGCAAUGGAAAAAUGGAGAAUAUGUACGACUAGGAAAUUAAUCUAUAUCUUCUUUGUGCAGAUUCUUAUUGUCAACACUUCAUGCACCACCACUUCACAAAUGAAGAAUAAUAGGUGUGUCCAUCCUUGGAAAGCAGAUUUAGGGUCUACAAACAAUGCCACUCAACCAUUACUAGAUCUUCAUCGGAAAUUAGAAAACUUGAUAGGUGGUUUCUCGUCCUUUCAAAA